UACGAAGGGGGCUAGCGUUGUUCGGAAUCACUGGGCGUAAAGCGCACGUAGGCGGAUUUGUAAGUCAGGGGUGAAAUCCCGGGGCUCAACCCCGGAACUGCCUUUGAUACUGCGAAUCUCGAGUCCGGAAGAGGUGAGUGGAAUUCCUAGUGUAGAGGUGAAAUUCGUAGAUAUUAGGAAGAACACCAGUGGCGAAGGCGGCUCACUGGUCCGGUACUGACGCUGAGGUGCGAAAGCGUGGGGAGCAAACAGG
rnacentral:rRNA from 1 species